AGUGAACGCUGGCGGUAGGCCUAACACAUGCAAGUCGAACGGCAGCACAGUAAGAGCUUGCUCUUACGGGUGGCGAGUGGCGGACGGGUGAGGAAUACAUCGGAAUCUACUUUUUCGCGGGGGAUAACGUAGGGAAACUUACGCUAAUACCGCAUACGACCUACGGGUGAAAGCAGGGGAUCUUCGGACCUUGCGCGAUUGAAUGAGCCGAUGUCGGAUUAGCUAGUUGGCGGGGUAAAGGCCCACCAAGGCGACGAUCCGUAGCUGGUCUGAGAGGAUGAUCAGCCACACUGGAACUGAGGCACGGUCCAGACUCCUACGGGAGGCAGCAGUGGGGAAUAUUGGACAAUGGGCGCAAGCCUGAUCCAGCCAUACCGCGUGGGUGAAGAAGGCCUUCGGGUUGUAAAGCCCUUUUGUUGGGAAAGAAAAGCAGCAGGUUAAUACCCCGCUGUUCUGACGGUACCCAAAGAAUAAGCACCGGCUAACUUCGUG
rnacentral:rRNA from 1 species